UGGGGAAUAUUGCACAAUGGGCGCAAGCCUGAUGCAGCCAUGCCGCGUGUAUGAAGAAGGCCUUCGGGUUGUAAAGUACUUUCAGCGGGGAGGAAGGCGAUAAGGUUAAUAACCUUGUCGAUUGACGUUACCCGCAGAAGAAGCACCGGCUAACUCCGUGCCAGCAGCCGCGGUAAUACGGAGGGUGCAAGCGUUAAUCGGAAUUACUGGGCGUAAAGCGCACGCAGGCGGUCUGUCAAGUCGGAUGUGAAAUCCCCGGGCUCAACCUGGGAACUGCAUUCGAAACUGGCAGGCUAGAGUCUUGUAGAGGGGGGUAGAAUUCCAGGUGUAGCGGUGAAAUGCGUAGAGAUCUGGAGGAAUACCGGUGGCGAAGGCGGCCCCCUGGACAAGGACUGACGCUCAGGUGCGAAAGCGUGGGGAGCAAACA
rnacentral:rRNA from 1 species